UUCCAUAUUUUUCCCACAACUAGCCAUUACAUGGUAAGCCAGAUUGGUUUCAACAAAGUUACCAAAGAAAACAAGUGCUUAUAAAAGAACUUUAGACCUUUCAGAUCUAAUAGCUUUCCCCUCUCGUCCACUUCAUUAUAUGAAUAAGUCGUAUUUGAUGCUGAUUUGGUGUAAUGGUUACCAAACCUUUUUGACUCCAUAUAUCAUCAUCUCGAUCUCUUUUCUCAGAAAAAAGGACAUUUUAUCUUUAUUUGGAUGGAAGUGCAUCUCUAAUGCAAUUUGUGGUGCAAUCAAAUUAAAGUUUUCUAAAACCAAAAAAAAAAAGAAUGAAUUGAUUGCUAGUAACUUUGAAAUUUUAAGUUCCCGGAAUGACGACAAGUCUGAUGUCAGUCUCUCAAAUGGGAAUGAAGGAACUAAAAAUUUGCCUUUGGAAGCUAAAGCGAAAGCUUGCUCGAAACAUAUGUAUCAUUCAAAAUAGUUAUUUCUGUAAUUUUUUUCAAAUAAAUGACUUCACAUCUUGCAUAUAACCAUUCACUGGUCAAGUUUCCAGGUGGUUGACAGGUCAAAGACAUGAGGUUUUUUUGGACAUUGAGCACCCAUGCCUGAGUGUUCUCGAAUCAAUAUUGCACUAUAGAUUUGCUUAUCUUGAAACCAAAGGCAACUAAAGAAACAAGUUAGAGAAGAUGUUAAAAGAAGAUAGCGAUCUAUAUGAAGCUGCCAAAGAAAUUAAAUGGCCUACAAAUCAAUAUCAGCAGGUGCAAAAGCACAGAAUAACUACACCUAAGUCCUAACAAUAAAACAACAGACUGGAAUCUUUUGAUCUGUCAUACGGAGUUACUUCAAGUGAUAUGGUCCCCUCCUUCGCCCAAAAAGGAGAGGGGGAGGGGUGGGUUGCAAGGGCUCGUCCGCUUUAUAUAACACAAAUUUCCCAUUCUAUAGAAACGCGCGGGUAAAAUCUCGAAGUGAAAGAAAAGGCAAUGCUUCUAGUUCUGGAAAUAAAGAAUUAAGAGGUUUGUUGAGAAAGGAUGUUAAAGC
rnacentral:lncRNA from 1 species